rnacentral:tRNA from 1 species
CAGAAAGUAGUUUAAGAUAAAAAUGCUAGUUUUGGGGACUAGCGAUGGGAUUUGAAGUCCUCUUUUUGA